UAUUUAAGAUCAAGACAUGUGCCAGAGAAAGACAUCGAACGAAUGGAACAGGACAAGGCAAAUCCUCCAGAGGAUGAUGUCACUGUUGGGGAGCUUUAUGAAAGAGUGAAGUUGCCAGUGCUGCAGUUCUACCUGAAAACCAAAAAGAGAGAAGUUGCUACAAAGAUGUGAAGGAGCUGGAGAACAUCAGGAAAGCUCUGUCCUUUAUCACCGCGGUGAAGAGCACAGGACGCACCCUCUCUCUUCCCCUUCUGUUGCCACUGUAAUAUGUGACCCCCCAUGAGGGAGAAGACAGUGGAAACAAAUAGGCAGAAAGAGAGAACUACAAGAACGGAGAAGUCAUAGGUCAAGGUGCUCCAGAGACCAAGAGGAUAAACCUGCAUGACUUUGUGUUUAUUAAAGUUCUGGGGAAAGGAAGUUUUGGAAAUGUACGAUGUUGCUCACACGCCUGACAGGAAGCAGAAAUGAUCCUCUCUGGUUCUGACAACCUUUGGUCUUGUGAUCAGGUGAUGCUGGCAGAGCUGAAGGGCACCGACUAGGUUUACGUGGUCAAGGUGCUGAAGAAAGACGUGAUCCUGCAAGAUGAUGAUGUGGACUUGCACCAUGACGGAGAAACGGAUCCUCGCCUUGGCCAGGAAACAUCCAUACCUGACACAGCUCUACUGCUGCUUCCAGACCAAAAUAAGCUCGCUCACACAGUUUGCAGUGACAUGCUGCACUAUUGUGUAAUAUUUGCACAAAUCUUUUUUAAUAAUGUUUGAGGUCACACUGCAAAUAUUAGCUCUGAGCAACUAAAUACUCCCAGCUUGACUGUAGCCAAACUGGUUCCUGA